rnacentral:rRNA from 1 species
GUCAUAUGCUUGUCUCAAAGAUUAAGCCAUGCAUGUCUCAGUACAAGCCAAAUUAAGGUGAAACCGCGAAAGGCUCAUUAAAUCAGUUAUGGUUCCUUAGAUCGUACCCACAAUUACUUGGAUAACUGUGGUAAUUCUAGAGCUAAUACAUGCAAACAGAGCUCCGACCGGAGACGGAAGGAGUGCUUUUAUUAGAUCAAAACCAAUCGGUGGCGGGUUCGCUCGUCAUCGUACAACAUGGUGACUCUGAAUAACUUUACGCUGAUCGCACGGUCUUUGCACCGGCGACGCAUCUUUCAAAUGUCUGCCUUAUCAACUGUCGAUGGUAGGUUCUGCGCCUACCAUGGUUGUAACGGGUAACGGGGAAUCAGGGUUCGAUUCCGGAGAGGGAGCCUGAGAAACGGCUACCACAUCCAAGGAAGGCAGCAGGCGCGCAAAUUACCCACUCCCGGCACGGGGAGGUAGUGACGAAAAAUAACGAUACGGGACUCAUCCGAGGCCCCGUAAUCGGAAUGAGUACACUCUAAACCCUUUAACGAGGAUCAAUUGGAGGGCAAGUCUGGUGCCAGCAGCCGCGG